rnacentral:SRP_RNA from 2 species
GCCGGGCGUGGUGGCUCACGCCUGUAAUCCCAGCAGUUUGGGAGGCCGAGACGGGUGGAUCACCUGAGGUUGGGAGUUCAAGACCAGCCUGACCAACAUGGUGAAACCCUGUCUCUA